rnacentral:lncRNA from 1 species
AUUACAAAUUUUGAAACCCUUUGAUCAUUAGGUCAAUGAUGUCGAAAANAAGAUUUGAAAUUUAGUUUUUAGAUACUUCAAGUGGUAUAAAUCAUGUUCAACAGUACCGAUCGUUAAUUUAGAGACUUUAUCAUUGAAAGCAAAUGAAUGACAACGGAGCUCGUUUGCUAUUGAUAUCAUUCCAGCUCAACUAUAUAUAUAUAUAUAUAUAUAUAUAUAUAUAUAUAUAUAUAUAUAUAUAUAUAGUUGAACUAAAAUACUAUCGGUAGCAAACGGGCUCCGUUGCCACCUAUUUAUUUUCGAUGAUGGAGCCUCCAAAUCGACGAUCGGAACCAUUGAAUAUAAUCUAUACCACUUGAAGUAUCUAGAAAUCAAAUUUCCUGAUUUUUUGAUAUUGUUCUCUUGUCCAUCAAGUGAGCGUAAAAAUGAACGGCUGAAAAUGAAUAUCCUCUAAAAAAUAAUGAUAGGAAUUUUAUAAUCAAGAUCGAAAGUAUAGAUCUUAUUCUAAAUAGUUUAAAAAAUUUUCUAACCAAAAUUCAAUUUAUUUGGAUAGCUUUACACCGUUAAACAAAAAAACGCCUUAUAUCUAUCAUUAAAAUUACAAAUUUUGAAACCCUUUGAUCAUUAGGUCAGUGAUGUCGAAAUGAUUUGAAAUUUGGUUUCUAGAUACUUCAAGUAGUAUAGAUCAUGUUCAAUGGUGCCGAUCGUCAAUUUAAAGGCUUCAUCAUCGAAAACAAAUGGGUGACAACGAAGCUAGUUUGCUACUGAUAGCAUUCCAGCUCAACUGUCUCUAUAUAUGUAUGUAUGUAUAUAUAUAUAUAUAUAUAUAUAUAUAUAU